GAUAGAAAAGAAGAAAACUAAGAAGAAGAGAAGAGAAGAAAAUUUUCUAAGGAAUUGGAUCAAAAGUGUAGAUUCGACAACUCCGAGAAUCUCCAAAGGGAUUCAAGGCGAAGUUUGAGGAAGCGGGUUUCAACCGAGCUAUUAGGAUUUUGUUGUUGAUUUGUGUAAUUAACUUUUGUAAGUAGUCAACGGUUUCAAAAUAUAUUAUUGUGUCAUUAACUACGAGCUACUGCGACUCUAAUUCUGUGUUGUUAAGUAAAUUUGUAUUUAUUUGUGGCUCUUUUUCUCAUCAUAUCAUGGUUGUAAGAUUUUGCUCUUAUGGCUAUGGUAUGACUUACACCCUGAUUCAGGAAUAUUCCUUAUUUUCGAAUCGGGUCAUGACAAAAACAGAGUCAUCACACCCCACAGCCAACCCCAAAUGCCUUCCCCUGUCGCAAAUCACCUUCGCCUUAGCCUGGCAAACAUCCAUCACCAAUCUGUCAAGUUUUCACAAAUCCUUCGAAGAGCCAAGUAAUAGUCCACCGAAUUUGUAUCCAUUUUUCAGUGAUCAUCUACCGAAUCCGUUACUGAGUGUCUAGUUAAUAUUGCUUUUUUAUAUAUAAAGAGGACUCGCAUAGAUACUAUUGAGGCUUCAUCAUCUCGACCUGAUAGACAGCGUCCCACAGCCUCAACGAGGAGACAGGGAGCGGGUCCCCAAGAUCACUUUGAGGAUACUAUAGAGGUUGAAGAUGUAGCUCCUACUCAUGAUAGUAAUGUUGAUGCAGAGGUUGAAGAUGUAGUUGCUACUCAUGAUAGUAAUGUUGAGGUACAUGUCGAGCCUACUGAGCCAUCUCGAGUAGGUCAUAUUGAUCCAUCUUUACUUACGAGUUUUAAAACUCACAUAGCAGUUGCAACUCAUGAUAGUAAUACUUACCUAUUUGAGAUCGUCAAUCCAAGAUGCAUACACGUGUUUGUCCAUGCGGCCAUAAACUCUCCUUAAAUGGAUUUAACCAAUUGUCAUGUAUGUAUUCAAUAGCUUUUUGAA